ACAUGAGGGAUUAGAAUGGUAAGGGCGAAGAGAAGUGCUCAUGUGGUGAUUGGUGCCAAGAUUACUCGGAUACAAGAGCUGAUGGACAAUAUAUUGCAACGCCAACUUCAGGUCACGUUUACACAGACAAAGACGUAAAUCUACGUGAAGAGGGAGUUCCCAUGUUUCAUCCUCUCCAAUCUUUUCCAACACACUGCUCUACGUGUGCUGCUAUCAAAUAAGGAAUAGUUCCUGCUGGUGGUGCGACUUUGGUUCAUCUCUCAACUGUCUAUUCUUUCCAUUAAGAAGAAACCGGAGGUUGUGAUGAACGUUUGGGAGCUGAUACAAUAGACAAGAACGCUGGAUUAGAAGGAGAAUUUGGUUCGAAAAAGUUCAAUUUCAGCGAAUGGGAACUUGGUUUCAACGCCAUGACUAAUACCUAUGAGGAGCUGGAGUAUUGAUCCAGCUAAAGUGACAAGAUGUGCGCUUCAGAACGCUACUUCGGUUGGAGGAAUGGCACUGAGCACUUAGGCCAUCUUUGUGUAACCUAAGGCUCCUGCUGCUGCAUCUCCUCAGGGCAUCAUUGUGUAACGAAAUUACACAUUUUUGUCAUAUGACUAUAUUUGUUGUCCCCAAUUAUCUGCAAUAUAUGUUUUUCUCUGGGGAAAUGAGUAGUUUUCUAAACAUGAGAAAUAUGGUGGCCUGAAGAAAAUAGAGACUCUAACAGUGUCGGAUCUAAACGCACAUGUCGUUGCUACAUGUCGUCAAUUCU